AUGGUCCGCGAGCUCCUGGCCGUGCUGGUGCGCGCGGCGCUGCAGUGGGCGCUGGCGUCGCUGCUCCUCGCCAACGGCGCCGCCUUCUGCCUCAUCGCCGCCGCGGCCUCCUCGCUCCGCCUCGGCCCGCCCUGCCUCCUCUGCGCUCGCGUCCACCGCCUGCUCUGCCCCUCCUCCUCUGGCGACGCCGGUUGCAGCCAAGAAGAAGACGACGCCUUCCGCCGCCUGCUCUGCGACGCUCACGUCGCCGCCAUCGCGCGCUUAGGCGCACAAGAAACAGAGCAGCCGGCGUGCUCUCCUUCUGAUCACGUCCACACAGGGACGAAAUAUGACUCAGAUAAAUCUCGAGGUCUAGAGUCUCAACGCGUCGUCUCCAUCGGUAGCGAGAUCUGCGAGCAAGAUCGUGGCGCCGACGACGACCAACCCCGUGCCACCAACCUCAGCGUCCUCCGAAGAACGUCGAGCACCGACAGCGGCGAAGGCCCGUACGUAUCCCUAUUCGAGCUCGCUCCCCUCGUCGCCCUCCCGGAAGACACCCUGCCGGAUUACGAUGCCAAAGAAGCACCUCACGGCCACGGGCACGGGACGGCGAAGACGGAGCACGACGAGAGCGCGUCCCCGAGCGCCGCGGCAGGCGGCGAGCAGGCGCUGACCGUGAGCGGCCUCGUGGCCGCCCUCCGCGCCCAGCGGAGGGAGCUGGAGGCGGCGCGCGCGGAGCUGCACGGCGAGCGGCGCGCCAGGGCGGAGCUGGAGGAGCAGGGCGAGCUGGACCGGGAGGCGGCGCGGGUGGCCAUGCAGCUCGUCCACGAGACGGAGACGGAGAAGCACGAGCUGCAGCAGCAGCUCGACGCGUUCAGAGUCAGGGUCCAGCUCCACGGCCACGAGGCCGCCGCCGCCUCCUUGGACGCGGACUGCUCUGCUCCUCCGGCCAACCGGCUCGGGCGCCGGCUGAGCCGCGACGGUGAUGGUGAACUGGUGGGCCUGGAAGACGAGGCGGGCUGGAGCGAGAACAAGAACUACCAGUCGCUGGUGGACUUCCUGCCGGGCUCGGUCUACUCCUCGUCGCCGGACCUGGCCAACCUGCUGAGGCUCUACACGGAAGGCAAUGGCAAUGGCGCUCGUCGGCCGAAAGAGGGUGAUAUCACUGAGGAGGAGGAAGAGGAGGUCGUCGUCGUCGCCGUCACGGCCGCAGCUGUUUCCGGUUUCGACGGAGUGGACGGUGAGGAGGCCACUAGCACUGCUGCUGCUGCUGCUGCAGCUGCUUCCGUUUUCGACGAAAGUGGUAGCGACCACGUCGGAGCAGAUCUUGCACAAGACGAAGCAGCAGUAAUGCGUGCAUGA
rnacentral:rRNA from 1 species